AGUCGAGCGGCAGCGCGGGGCAACCUGGCGGCGAGCGGCGAACGGGUGAGUAAUACAUCGGAACGUGCCCAAGUGUGGGGGAUAGCCCGGCGAAAGCCGGAUUAAUACCGCAUACGAUCUAAGGAUGAAAGCGGGGGAUCGCAAGACCUCGCGCACUUGGAGCGGCUGAUGGCAGAUUAGGUAGUUGGUGGGGUAAAGGCCUACCAAGCCUACGAUCUGUAGCUGGUCUGAGAGGACGACCAGCCACACUGGGACUGAGACACGGCCCAGACUCCUACGGGAGGCAGCAGUGGGGAAUUUUGGACAAUGGGCGAAAGCCUGAUCCAGCCAUUCCGCGUGCAGGAUGAAGGCCCUCGGGUUGUAAACUGCUUUUGUACAGAACGAAAAGGCUCUGGUUAAUACCUGGGGCUCAUGACGGUACUGUAAGAAUAAGCACCGGCUAACUACGUGCCAGCAGCCGCGGUAAUACGUAGGGUGCAAGCGUUAAUCGGAAUUACUGGGCGUAAAGCGUGCGCAGGCGGUUUUGUAAGACAGAGGUGAAAUCCCCGGGCUCAACCUGGGAACUGCCUUUGUGACUGCAAGGCUGGAGUACGGCAGAGGGGGAUGGAAUUCCGCGUGUAGCAGUGAAAUGCGUAGAUAUGCG
rnacentral:rRNA from 1 species